rnacentral:lncRNA from 13 species
AGUUGGGGCCACAGUCUCAUUCUAAACCAAUCACUGACAAAAGAGGAUUGAUUGAAUAACUGUUGGGCCAACCAGAUUCACCCAUGGAGGUGGUCAGCUUCUAAAAUCUGCCUUCUGCUUGGAUGCAAAAAGCAGCUAAUGGAUGCCAGAUGAGGAAAUCAAGGCCCAGAAAUUUU